rnacentral:rRNA from 1 species
AUGGAGGCCAAGGCCGACGUCGCCGCCGACCUCUCGACCAUGCGCGAGCAGUGCCGGAGCAUGGAGGAGGUCAUCUCCUUCCGCCGCGAGGCGCAGCUAGGCCUCGUCGGCUCCCUCCAGCACCUCGUCCCGGACCUGGUCCCCUCCCUCGACCGUUCCCUCCGCCUCAUCGCCGCCUUCAACGACCGCCCCUUCACCCCUACCCCAAAUCCCAACGCCGGCGACCCCCAGAACCCCAGCCUGAAGUCCCACCACCGCCGCGCCAUCCCCGACCCGGCCCGCUCCACCCGCCGCAAGACCUCUCCGGGGUCCUCCCCGGCCUCCGCCGCUGUGGGAGGCGCUGCCCCCGGCGGUCUCGACGCGGUACGCACCAUGGUGGCCGUAUUCCUCCUUGAGCUUAUCCCCUUCGCCGAGAUCGACGCCGCCGUACUCGCGCGCCGCCUGCAGGCUGAAUCCUCCUCAGCCAGCGAUGCGGAGCGGGCGGCUCUCGCCGACCUAGCGACGGAGCUCGGCGGCUCCGUUCCCGCCGCUGUAGCUCUCGCCCUCCGACGCAUAGCUGAGGACAGCGGCGGCGUGCAGAUCGAGGAGGCCAUGAUUGGAGGCAAGCAGAUGAUGAUGGUCUGGGCCAUCGACCGUAGCAAGCUCCUCAAAGAGCUACCAGAAUCCGCCACAUUGUUGUCACCCCAACCUCCACCCUUACCACAGGCGACCGAGACCGACACUAACAGUGCAAUCAUACCAAGACCACCACCACCACAUCAGCAGCAACAGCCGGAUAUGUGGGCGCACUCAAUGCCACCGAUGUUCCCACGGCCCAGGGGCAUGACAAUGCCGGGGAUGCAGAGGAUGAUGCCAGGGUUGAUGCCGCUUCAGCGCCCGUUCAUGGCUCCAAGCUCGGGGCCUAGUCCUACCCAGCAGAACCAGAGGACCGAGGAGGAGGACCUGAAGGACCUUGAGGUGCUGCUGAGUAAGAAGACAUACAAGGAGAAGCAGAACACAAAAACCGGGGAGGAGCUGCUGGAUCUCAUUCACCGGCCAACGGCAAAGGAGACGGCUGUUGCAGCAAAGUUCAAAACAAAGGGUGGUUCCCAGCUGAAGGAGUAUUGCACCAAUUUAACUAAAGAAGAUUGCAGACGCCAAUCUGGUUCCUUUGUUUCCUGUGCUAAGGUUCACUUUCGCCGAAUUAUUGCUCCACAUACUGAUACAAAUCUAGGAGAUUGCUCUUUUCUGGACACCUGCCGCCACACUAAGACUUGCAAGUAUGUCCACUAUGAGCUUGAUCAAACACCAGAUAUAGCUCCAAUGAUGGCUGGCACCCUUGCUCCCCCUAGGCAAAUAAAGCCCCAUAGAGCUGAAUAUUGUUCAGAAAUAGAGCUUGGAGAGUCACAAUGGAUAAACUGUGACAUUCGGAACUUCAGAAUGGACAUCUUAGGGCAAUUUGGGGUAAUUAUGGCUGAUCCCCCGUGGGAUAUUCAUAUGGAACUGCCAUAUGGCACAAUGGCUGACGAUGAAAUGAGGACUCUUAAUGUGCCUGCUUUACAAACGGAUGGCUUGAUUUUCUUAUGGGUCACCGGCCGUGCGAUGGAACUUGGCCGGGAGUGUUUGGAGCUCUGGGGAUACAAGCGUGUUGAGGAAAUUAUUUGGGUGAAGACCAAUCAACUUCAACGCAUUAUUCGAACUGGCCGCACUGGCCAUUGGUUGAACCACAGUAAAGAACAUUGUCUUGUUGGAAUUAAAGGGAGUCCCCUAGUGAACAGGAAUAUAGACACUGAUGUUAUUGUUGCUGAAGUGCGUGAAACAAGCAGAAAACCUGACGAGAUGUACGCCAUGUUAGAGCGGAUAAGCCCAAGGACAAGGAAGCUCGAACUGUUUGCUAGAAUGCAUAACACGCAAGCUGGAUGGCUCUCUCUUGGCAACCAGGUAAGCGGAACAAGGCUUGUGGAUGAAGGGCUGAGGGCAACGUACAAAGCUGCUUAUCCGGACUUCGAGGUGCAGCCGCCAUCGCCUCCCAGAGCAAGCGCGCCUAUGGAUGUUGAUCAGAGUACUCCAUCACAGAAGCCUGUUGCAUCAGAUGGUGAGCGGCCAACCUGA